rnacentral:rRNA from 1 species
ACUUCUGCGAGGCAUCUGCCAGGAUGUUUUCAUUAAUCAAGAACGAAAGUUAGGGGAUCGAAGAGAUCAGAUACCGUCGUAGUCUUAACCAUAAACGAUGCCGACCAGCGGUUAGGAGACGUUGAAUACAAAACACCACCAUCGGCGCGGUCGUCCCUGGCUCGUCGUCUCACGACGGCGGGCGGGGGCGGUUUAGCCCGAUGGCACCGGUGAAUGACUCCCUAGCAGACUUGUCGAGAA